rnacentral:rRNA from 1 species
UACGGAGGGUGCAAGCGUUAUCCGGAUUUACUGGGGUUAAAGGGUGCGUAGGCGGGGUAUUAAGUCCGUGGUGAAAGCCUUCAGCUCAACUGAAGAACUGCCAUUGAUACUGAUGAUCUUGAGUACGAUUGAGGUAGGCGGAAUGUGUCAUGUAGCGGUGAAAUGCUUAGAUAUGACACAGAACACCGAUUGCGAAGGCAGCUUACUAAGUCGUAACUGACGCUGAUGCACGAAAGCGUGGGGAGCAAACAGG